UGGUACCAUUGUGAAGUGACUGUGGUCGUAUGUAGAACAUUGUAUGGUGCAGGCAGGGCUACAGUUGUUUAGGUAUCAAUGGUAAAAAUGAAGUUUCACGAACAGGAAGCCUACCAGUAGUAUGGUAUGCAUGCAACGGUAGUACCGGUAGUCAUAAAUAACUUAACCUUUUAUGGUAAGAAAAUUGAACUUCAGUGUGUAACUGGAAGGCACAUGAUCAAUGAAUAAAUGGUAUUCUACAAGAUCAAGGUAGGAUUAAAUUUCAUGUGGAACUAACCACUUCAUACAGAACAUGGAAAAAGCAAAGGUACUCUGGAUCACUGGAUCAAGUCGACAGUGGAGCUGGCAAUGGCGAAGAAAGUUCUGGAUCCACUUUAAUCGGAUGAAAAGGCAGCAGAAUGUGUUCACCUUGUCUUGGAGAAUACCCGGAUCUUUU